UACGUAGGGAGCAAGCGUUGUUCGGAUUACUGGGCGUAAAGGGCGCGUAGGCGGCGCUGUAAGUCACUUGUGAAAUCUCUGAGCUUAACUCAGAACGGCCAAGUGAUACUGCAGUGCUAGAGUGCAGAAGGGGCAAUCGGGAAUUCUUGGUGUAGCGGUGAAAUGCGUAGAUAUCAAGAGGAACACCUGAGGUGAAGACGGGUUGCUAGGCUGACACUGACGCUGAGGCGCGAAAGCUAGGGGAGCAAACGGG
rnacentral:rRNA from 1 species